rnacentral:rRNA from 1 species
GACGAACGCUGGCGGCGUGCUUAACACAUGCAAGUCGAACGGAAAGGCCCUGCUUUUGUGGGGUGCUCGAGUGGCGAACGGGUGAGUAACACGUGAGUAACCUGCCCUUGACUUUGGGAUAACUUCAGGAAACUGGGGCUAAUACCGGAUAGGAGCUCCUGCUGCAUGGUGGGGGUUGGAAAGUUUCGGCGGUUGGGGAUGGACUCGCGGCUUAUCAGCUUGUUGGUGAGGUAGUGGAUUAGCAAGGCUUUGACGGGUAGCCGGACUGAGAGGGUGACAGGGCACAUUGGGACUGAGAUGGGGGCCAGAGUGCUACGGGAGGAAGCGGUGGGGAAUAUAGCACGAUGGGCGGAAGCCGGAUGCAGCAACGUCGCGUGCGGGAUGACGGCCUUCGGGUUGUAAACCGCUUUCGCCUGUGACGAAGCGUGAGUGACGGUAAUGGGUAAAGAAGCACCGGCUAACUACGUG